UUUCAGAGUCAUCCCUUUGAGGAGUGCAAGGUUUAAAAGUAAAUAUCCUCCCACCACCAAAACUCACUGGGUAGAAAUAGCCUUUGGAGGAAUGGCAACCCAGUUUCCUCUGCAGCAACCCAGUCCGCCUCCCAAUGCUGAGAAAUGUGCUGUGCUCAGCAUUUCUGUGCUGAUGCCGCUGCAUCCAUGGUCGAAAAGGCGGGCGGCUGCAGCAGCCACAGCAGCAGUUGCUCUAGGGGUUAGAAAUCAGAUCGCAGCAUUUCUACCUCAUUUGGCAGCAGAAGUCCCGGGUCAUGAGGAAGAUGAGGUUCUAGUCCAGAAGCUGCUGGGCUUUGUCACUCUGAAGGUGUCAUCAAAGAAGAAAAGCCGGAGUAGGGGAAGCAGAUGGGACCUGCGUGUGCGGACAUCGCCGGGGCCAAGCUAACCCAGAGCUCCCGAAAAACACUCCGCACGGGCACAGCAGCACAACAAAAGGAGCCUCCCGAAGUGAGUCUAAACGUUCGCGGGACGGGCGGCGGCCGGACGUGGGGACG
rnacentral:lncRNA from 1 species